rnacentral:rRNA from 1 species
GACGAACGCUGGCGGCGUGCUUAACACAUGCAAGUCGAACGGAAACGCCCUGCUUUUGUGGGGUGCUCGGGUGGCGAACGGGUGAGUAACACGUGAGUAACCUGCCCUUGACUUUGGGAUAACUUCAGGAAACUGGGGCUAAUACCGGAUAGGAGCUCCUGCUGCAUGGUGGGGGUUGGAAAGUUUCGGCGGUUGGGGAUGGACUCGCGGCUUAUCAGCUUGUUGGUGGGGUAGUGGCUUACCAAGGCUUUGACGGGUAGCCGGCCUGAGAGGGUGACCGGCCACAUUGGGACUGAGAUACGGCCCAGACUCCUACGGGAGGCAGCAGUGGGGAAUAUUGCACAAUGGGCGGAAGCCUGAUGCAGCAACGCCGCGUGCGGGAUGACGGCCUUCGGGUUGUAAACCGCUUUCGCCUGUGACGAAGCGUGAGUGACGGUAAUGGGUAAAGAAGCACCGGCUAACUACGUG